CGACUGAGCCACCCAGGCGCCCCUAAAUCAUUUAGUUUUUUAUGGAGAAGGUCCAGUUGUAACUGUUUGAUGCUGCUAUCAAAUUACAAAAGCUCUGACAGACAUUACUGAAUGGAUGGGCAGAUCUAUGUUCCAAUAAAACUUUGUUACAAAAGUAGACUGGCAGCAGGCCAGCCUGUAGGUCCUGGUUUGCCAAGCCCUAUUCCACAGAAAUCCUGUGUUUCCUGCUGUAAGCUAUGGUCUACACUUCUCUCCGGUUGGCUGGGUGCUCUGUUCCUGAAAGACAAUGUACAGGUACACAAGGUGGCCAAUAAGUGGGGAAUGAAUUUCUGACAGGUCUGGUAACUGAGACUGGCCCCUUUUCCUUUUCCUACCUGAUCUUCGUGGAAUGUGAGUUUCCAUUUGAGAAAAUACACCCUUCUAGGAACUAUGACUACCAAAUGGUCAGACUGCCAAACUGCACCAAAGCAGCCCACAGGAGGAAUCCUGAAAUUGACUCAAGGAAGCAAUGCCUGGUUUUACUAAUGAGCAGUCCUGGCUCCCAUGUGACCCACAGCCUAACCCACUGUCUAUGACUAUAGCCUUAGGACUAUGAAAGAAGGAGGUUCCAGGGCACCACAAGCUCCAAACACACCACCGUAUCCAUCACCCUGUGCCCCCGCAGACCCUCUACCUCUCCCCUCCAAUGAAAGAAGACAUGGAACUGCCACUUGCACAAAGGCCCAGCUGCGGGUACCCACCAGAAAAGAAAUCAAAGAAAACCCACCCAGGAAAAGAACAGCAAGAAGGGAAAGGGCAGAAGAAGGACACUGUGUGAAGACAUCCAGAGGUCCCAUUCAGAGGCUGUCUCCUUCCCGAAGCCUUGCCCAGGUCCUGCCUGAUGGCUCUCUCCUCUGAUUGCCCACCACCCCAAGGGCUCCUUAGAGAUUACAAUCCUUACAGUCUGCCAGGGUGCAGGUUACUACUGGUAGCCCUCCCUAGCAAACCCAGAGUUCCUCCAGGGGGGCCUCAUUGUUUCAUUCAGCAAUGAUUUAAUGAGCAGCUUGCCAGGCUACUCCUAAACCAGACAAACCUCACCUCCACCAUGGAUACUGACAAUAAACUGCAGAGGAAGCAACAUUGGGGCAUGCCCAUGUACUAAAGCAGGGAGGAAGGCGGUAGCAGGGGAGCUCUACCUACAGCUGAGCCUAAAGGGUUACUGUAAAGUCUCUGACCUGUACUCUGAGGUUACCUCUUGAAAGGUCUGCGGCAGAAGGAUGACAGUAUCUGAUUGCCGUCUGCUGCCCUGCAGGGAACUAGCCACAUGGCAGUGUUGUGGGCUGAACUGUGUCCUCCAAAAAGAAAAGUCCACAUCCUAACCCUUAGCACUUGUGAAUGUGACUUUACUGGAAAUAGGGUCUUUGCAGAGAUGUAAGUUAAGAUGAGGUCAUAAUGGAAUAGGGUGGACCCUUAAUCUAUUAUGACUGGGGUCUUUACAAGAAAACACACAGAGAAGAUGGCCAGUGACACCACAGGCAGAGAUCUGAGUGAUGAAGCCACAAGCCAAGGAAUUGCCCCCAACACCAGAAGAUGGGAGAGGCAUGGGAAGAUCUGUCCCUACGAGCCAUCAGAAGGAACCAGCCCUGCCGACACCUUGACUUUGGACUUCUGGCCUCCAGAACUGUGAGGGAAUAGAUCUUGGUUGGUUUAAGCCCCCCAGUUUGUGGCACUUUGUCACAGCAGCUCUAAGAAAUGAACACAAACAGCAAAGGGGGAAUCAGGCUAGGAGGAAAGGAGAUGCUCCGGGCUUCACCGAGGGCAGGCUGGAAAGGAGCUUAGAGACCCCUCCUCCAGGUUCUUCUUCCUUUGCUGUGUGCACGAAAACCCCCACAGAUAUGGAAGCUGGCGGCUAUAAAUUACCCUCCUCACUUGCAUUCCGGGCUCAGACCUUUGGAGAAACAGUCUCCUCUGAGAACACUCGUGUGAAAUAAUUAUCUCCAAUCCACAAAGAUCUCCUAGUGCCGCUUGGUUUUUCCGCCAGGGUUCCAGGCUGGUUCCGUAACACAGGUACCAAAAAAGGAAAAUUCCAUUAGAACCCACACCCCCUCAACUACAGCCCCUCACCACUGCCUCCAGGCAGUCUCUCCCUUGCUGUCCUUCCCCCAGCUCCCUUGCGGUGUAUUCAAUAAACUUCUACCUCCUU